UACGAAGGGGGCUAGCGUUGCUCGGAAUCACUGGGCGUAAAGCGCACGUAGGCGGCUUUUUAAGUCAGAGGUGAAAUCCUGGAGCUCAACUCCAGAACUGCCUUUGAUACUGGAGAGCUUGAGUCCGGGAGAGGUGAGUGGAACUGCGAGUGUAGAGGUGAAAUUCGUAGAUAUCGCAAGAACACCAGUGGCGAAGGCGGCUCACUGGCC
rnacentral:rRNA from 1 species